GCUCCCAUGACGCAGUGGUUUAGCGUGCCGUUCUUAUACUCUCCUUGGUGGCUCAUAGUUGCUGGUUUGUAUGACAGAUAUGCGGAAGUCGUGAGUUCGACCCUCACUGGGAGCA